UACGUAGGGCGCAAGCGUUGUCCGGAAUUAUUGGGCGUAAAGAGCUCGUAGGCGGUCUGUCGCGUCUGCCGUGAAAACCCGAGGCUUAACCUCGGGCUGGCGGUGGAUACGGGCAGACUAGAGGUAGGUAGGGGAGAAUGGAAUUCCCGGUGUAGCGGUGAAAUGCGCAGAUAUCGGGAGGAACACCGGUGGCGAAGGCGGUUCUCUGGGCCUUACCUGACGCUGAGGAGCGAAAGUGUGGGGAGCGAACAGG
rnacentral:rRNA from 1 species